GUCAGUGUGGCUUAGUGGUUUGAGCGUUGGACUAUGACUCUGGAGACUGGGGUUUGAAUCCUUGCUUGGCCA